AAGACGAAUAAUCAAACGUUGGAC
rnacentral:miRNA from 1 species